GUUUGAUGUUCUAACGUGGACCCGUAAUCCGGGUUGCGGACAGUGUCUGGUGGGUAGUUUGACUGGGGCGGUCUCCUCCUAAAGAGUAACGGAGGAGCACGAAGGUUGGCUAAUCCUGGUCGGACAUCAGGAGGUUAGUGCAAUGGCAUAAGCCAGCUUGACUGCGAGCGUGACGGCGCGAGCAGGUGCGAAAGCAGGUCAUAGUGAUCCGGUGGUUCUGAAUGGAAGGGCCAUCGCUCAACGGAUAAAAGGUACUCCGGGGAUAACAGGCUGAUACCGCCCAAGAGUUCAUAUCGACGGCGGUGUUUGGCACCUCGAUGUCGGCUCAUCACAUCCUGGGGCUGAAGUAGGUCCCAAGGGUAUGGCUGUUCGCCAUUUAAAGUGGUACGCGAGCUGGGUUUAGAACGUCGUGAGACAGUUCGGUCCCUAUCUGCCGUGGGCGCUGGAGAACUGAGGGGGGGCUGCUCCUAGUACGAGAGGACCGGAGUGGACGCAUCACUGGUGUUCGGGUUGUCAUGCCAAUGGCACUGCCCGGUAGCUAAAUGCGGAAAAGAUAAGUGCUGAAAGCAUCUAAGCACGAAACUUGCCCCGAGAUGAGUUCUCCCUGAGACUUAGAGUCUCCUGAAGGAACGUUGAAGACGACGACGUUGAUAGGCCGGGUGUGUAAGCACAGCGAUGCGUUGAGCUAACCGGUACUAAUGAACCGUGAGGCUUAACCUUACAACGCCGAAG
rnacentral:rRNA from 1 species